ACCUGGGUUUGACAUAUAGGUUGUAGGGAACUGAAAAGGACGACCCUUCGGGGAGCCUAUACAGGUGUUGCAUGGCUGUCGUCAGCUCGUGUCGUGAGAUGUUCGGUUAAGUCCGCUAACGAGCGCAACCCUCGUCGUAUGUUAUAUGUGUCAUACGAGACUGCCGGUAAAAGCCGGAGGAAGGUGAGGAUGAUGUCAAGUCAGCAUGACCUUUAUAUCCAGGGCUACACACACGCUACAAUGGUCUGUACAAUGGGUAGCCAAGCCGCGAGGCGGAGCCAAUCCUGAAAGCAGGCCUCAGUUCAGAUUGCAGUCUGCAACUCGACUGCAUGAAGCCGGAGUUGCUAGUAACCGCAGGUCAGCAAUACUGCGGUGAAUACGUUCCCGGGUCUU
rnacentral:rRNA from 1 species